rfam:Drosophila simulans chrT_M_6966 genomic scaffold, whole genome shotgun sequence.
AAAAAAAAAAACACCUUUUUUUUUUUUUUUUUUUUUUUUUUUUUUUUUUUCCCCCCCCCCCCCCCCCAAAAAAAAAAAAAAAAAAAAAAAAAAAAAAAAAAAAACCUUCGUGGGGGGGGGGGGGUGGGGGGGGGGGUGUGGGGGUUUUUUUCCC